rnacentral:rRNA from 1 species
GACGAACGCUGGCGGCGUGCUUAACACAUGCAAGUCGAACGGAAAGGCCCCUUCGUGGGUCCUCGAGUGGCGAACAGGUGAGUAACACGUGAGUAACCUGCCCUUGACUUCGGGAUAACUUUAGGAAACUGGGGCUAAUACCGGAUAGGAAUCCUUGCUGCAUGGUGGGGGUUGGAAAGCUUCGGCGGUUUUGGCUGGACUCGCGGCUUAUCUGCUUGUUGGUGGGGUAGUGGCUUACCAAGGCUUUGACGGGUAGCCGGCCUGAGAGGGCGACCGGCCACAUUGGGACUGAGAUACGGCCCAGACUCCUACGGGAGGCAGCAGUGGGGAAUAUUGCACAAUGGGCGGAAGCCUGAUGCAGCAACGCCGCGUGCGGGAUGACGGCCUUCGGGUUGUAAACCGCUUUCAGCAGGGGCGAAGCUUGUGGUGACGGUACCUGCAGAAGAAGCACCGGCUAACUACGUG